CAAAGAUUAAGCCAUGCAUGUCUAAGUAUAAGCAACUAUACGGUGAAACUGCGAAUGGCUCAUUAAAUCAGUUAUCGUUUAUUUGAUAGUACCUUACUACAUGGAUAACCGUGGUAAUUCUAGAGCUAAUACAUGCUAAAAGCCCCGACUUCGGAAGGGGUGUAUUUAUUAGAUAAAAAACCAAUGCCCUUCGGGGCUGCUUGGUGAAUCAUAAUAACUUCACGAAUCGCAUGGCCUUGCGCCGGCGAUGGUUCAUUCAAAUUUCUGCCCUAUCAACUUUCGAUGGUAGGAUAGUGGCCUACCAUGGUUUCAACGGGUAACGGGGAAUUAGGGUUCGACUCCGGAGAGGGAGCCUGAGAAACGGCUACCACAUCCAAGGAAGGCAGCAGGCGCGCAAAUUACCCAAUGCCGACACGGCGAGGUAGUGACAAUAAAUACUGAUCCAGGGCUCUUUCGGGUCUUGGAAUUGGAAUGAGUACAAUUUAAAUCCCUUAACGAGGAACAACUGGAGGGCA
rnacentral:rRNA from 1 species